GGGAGCACAGCGGAGGGAGCCCCGGGCCUCCCCCCAGGACUUAAGGAAAUACUGAUACUGCCGGGGCGAGGAAGGAGAGUCCGCCCGGGAUAUCCCCCGCCUCCGCCGGCCCAGGCCCAGGGGGAACAGAGAGAGAGACAGCGAGAGACAAAGGGGGAGCGGGGCCGCCAGACUUUCCAGCCGCAUCAGAGGAGCGGGAGCGACUCACCCUUGACUCCCGGCAAGAAUGCGCGUUGGACUAAAGAAUCAAGCACAGUCCUUCUUCUCCAUUAUAAAAGCAUGUGAGCUGAAAAAAGACCCAUAAGCAGCAGUGAGAAUGGUUGGACUAAGAAGAAGAAUAAAAAAGGGAUAAAGCAGCCUGCUUACA
rnacentral:lncRNA from 1 species